UACGGAGGGGGCUAGCGUUGUUCGGAAUUACUGGGCGUAAAGGGCGCGUAGGCGGCGCGAUAAGUUGGGCGUGAAAGGCCCGGGCUCAACCCGGGGACUGCGCUUGAUACUGUCGCGCUGUGAGUCCGGGAGAGGAUGGCGGAAUUCCCAGUGUAGAGGUGAAAUUCGUAGAUAUUGGGAAGAACACCGGUGGCGAAGGCGGCCAUCUGGACCGGCACUGACGCUGAGGCGCGAAAGCGUGGGGAGCAAACGGG
rnacentral:rRNA from 1 species